rnacentral:rRNA from 1 species
AUUGAACGCUGGCGGCAGGCCUAACACAUGCAAGUCGAGCGAGCGGCGGACGGGUGAGUAAUGUAUGGGGACUGCCCGAUAGAGGGGGAUAACUACUGGAAACGGUAGCUAAUACCGCAUACUAUCGGAUAACCCAUAUGGGAUUAGCUAGUAGGUGAGGUAAUGGCUCACCUAGGCGACGAUCCCUAGCUGGUCUGAGAGGAUGAUCAGCCACACUGGGACGGAGACACGGCCCAGAGGCCUACGGUGGCAUCAGUGGGGAAUAUUGCACAAUGGGAGCAAGCCUGAUGCAGCCAUGCCGCGUGUAUGAAGAAGGCCCUAGGGUUGUAAAGUACUUUCAGUCGGGAGGCGUUACCGGCAGAAGAAGCACCGGCUAACUCCGUGCCAGCAGCCGCGGUAAAUC